rnacentral:rRNA from 1 species
ACUGGUGACAGGUGGUGCAUGGUUGUCGUCAGCUCGUGUCGUGAGAUGUUGGGUUAAGUCCCGCAACGAGCGCAGCCCUUAUUGUUAGUUGCUACGCAAGAGCACUCUAGCGAGACUGCCGUUGACAAAACGGAGGAAGGUGGGGACGACGUCAAAUCAUCAUGCCCCUUAUGUCCUGGGCCACACACGUACUACAAUGGUGGUCAACAGAGGGAAGCAAUACCGCGAGGUGGAGCAAAUCCCUAAAAGCCAUCCCAGUUCGGAUCGCAGGCUGCAACCCGCCUGCGUGAAGUUGGAAUCGCUAGUAAUCGCGGAUCAGCAUGCCGCGGUGAAUACGUUCCCGGGCCUUGUACACACCGCCCGUCACACCAUGAGAGUCGGGAACACCCGAAGUCCGUAGCCUAACAGCAAUGGGGGCGCGGCCGAAGGUGGGUUCGAUAAUUGGGGUGAAGUCGUAACAAGGUAGCCGUAUCGGAAGGUGCGGCUGGAUCACCUC